UACGUAGGGUGCAAGCGUUAAUCGGAAUACUGGGCGUAAAGCGUGCGCAGGCGGUUUUGUAAGUCUGACGUGAAAUCCCCGGGCUCAACCUGGGAAUUGCGUUGGAGACUGCAAGGCUGGAGUCUGGCAGAGGGGGGGUAGAAUUCCACGUGUAGCAGUGAAAUGCGUAGAGAUGUGGAGGAACACCGGUGGCGAAGGCGGCUCACUGGCUCGUAUCUGACGCUCAGGCGCGAUAGCGUGGGGGAUCAAACAGG
rnacentral:rRNA from 1 species